rnacentral:rRNA from 1 species
GACGAACGCUGGCGGCGUGCCUAAUACAUGCAAGUAGAACGCUGAAGGAGGAGCUUGCUUCUCCGGAUGAGUUGCGAACGGGUGAGUAACGCGUAGGUAACCUGCCUGGUAGCGGGGGAUAACUAUUGGAAACGAUAGCUAAUACCGCAUAAGAGUAGAUGUUGCAUGACAUUUGCUUAAAAGGUGCAAUUGCAUCACUACCAGAUGGACCUGCGUUGUAUUAGCUAGUUGGUGGGGUAACGGCUCACCAAGGCGACGAUACAUAGCCGACCUGAGAGGGUGAUCGGCCACACUGGGACUGAGACACGGCCCAGACUCCUACGGGAGGCAGCAGUAGGGAAUCUUCGGCAAUGGACGGAAGUCUGACCGAGCAACGCCGCGUGAGUGAAGAAGGUUUUCGGAUCGUAAAGCUCUGUUGUAAGAGAAGAACGAGUGUGAGAGUGGAAAGUUCACACUGUGACGUAUCUACCAGAA